rnacentral:rRNA from 1 species
GUCGAACGAAAAGUAGGAGCAUACCAUGAGUAAAGUGGCGCACGGGAUGAGUAACACGUGACUAACCUACCCUUGAGUGGGGGAUAACCUCGGGAAACCGGGGCUAAUACCGCAUAAUACCUACGGGUCAAAGGAGCAAUUCGCUUUAGGAGGGGGUCGCGGCAGAUUAGUUAGUUGGCGGGGUAAUGGCCCACCAAGACGGUGAUCUGUAUCCGGCCUGAGAGGGCGCACGGACACACUGGAACUGAAACACGGUCCAGACUCCUACGGGAGGCAGCAGUGGGGAAUUUUGCGCAAUGGGGGAAACCCUGACGCAGCAACGCCGCGUGGAGGAUGAAGUCCCUUGGGACGUAAACUCCUUUCGAUCGGGACGAUUAUGACGGUACCGGAAGAAGAAGCCCCGGCUAACUUCGUGCCAGCAGCCGCGGUAAUACGAGGGGGGCGAGCGUUGUUCGGAAUUAUUGGGCGUAAAGGGCGCGUAGGCGGUCGGAUAAGUCUUGUGUGAAAUCUUCGGGCUCAACUCGAAGUCUGCACAGGAAACUAUCUGGCUUGAGUGUGGGAGAGGUGAGUGGAAUUCCUGGUGUAGCGGUGAAAUGCGUAGAUAUCAGGAGGAACACCUGUGGCGAAAGCGGCUCACUGGACCACAACUGACGCUGAGGCGCGAAAGCUAGGGGAGCAAACAGGAUUAGAUACCCUGGUAGUCCUAGCCCUAAACGAUGAUCGCUUGGUGUGACGGGUACCCAAUCCCGCCGUGCCGAAGCUAACGCGUUAAGCGAUCCGCCUGGGGAGUACGGUCGCAAGGCUGAAACUCAAAGGAAUUUGACGGGGGCCCGCACAAGCGGUGGACCAUGUGGUUUAA